ACAAUGUACAUUGUGUUUAUUUCUUUAAUAGAAAAUCCUCAGUCUACAGUCCAAGCCAGUAGUGAUAGAUGUUAAAGCUACUGAAGCACUGCUCUAUCGUAUCAACCCAAACACUUAUAACAUUGAGAAAGCUACCAUUGAAUCAACACUAUUUGUACCACGGAGUGUUACUGGAGGAGAGGGGAAACUAUGGUUUGGAUUGGGUAAUGGAGUAUUGCGUGUGUACGAUAUGGAGGACAGGUGCUUUGACUCUGAUCUCAAGAUAAUGGACUCCAGGAGAGGAAAGACAGUCCGUGUGUCUUGUCUGUUGCUAGUGGAUUAUAACGUUUGGGUCGGAUCACUUAAUAAAACUAUUCAUAUUCUUGACGUGGAGACUCU